CCUGCUUGUAUAUGGCAAAGUUUCUUGCGGAGCUCCUGGGAUGCACAUUGCCACGCAAGAGACACUCCCCGAUGUUCGAGUCCAGAAGCCAGUCCCGCAUCGGCCUGAAGCAAAACACCAAGCAGAAGACGUCGCCAUUCAGCUCCUUGGCCAAUGAGAAGUCUCUGUUUGACUGCAGAAGAGUAAGUGAAAUAUUUUCUGU